rnacentral:rRNA from 1 species
CCUACGGGGUGCUGCAGUGAGGAAUAUUGGUCAAUGGACGCAAGUCUGAACCAGCCAUGCCGCGUGCAGGAAGACGGCUCUAUGAGUUGUAAACUGCUUUUGUACGAGGGUAAACGCAGAUACGCGUAUCUGUCUGAAAGUAUCGUACGAAUAAGGAUCGGCUAACUCCGUGCCAGCAGCCGCGGUAAUACGGAGGAUUCAAGCGUUAUCCGGAUUUAUUGGGUUUAAAGGGUGCGUAGGCGGUCGGAUAAGUUAGAGGUGAAAUCCCGAGGCUCAACUUCGGAAUUGCCUCUGAUACUGUUCGGCUAGAGAGUAGUUGCGGUAGGCGGAAUGUAUGGUGUAGCGGUGAAAUGCUUAGAGAUCAUACAGAACACCGAUUGCGAAGGCAGCUUACCAAGCUACUACUGACGUUGAGGCACGAAAGCGUGGGGAGCGAACAGGAUUAGAUACCCCUGUAGUC